rnacentral:rRNA from 1 species
GGCUGAGACGUGAUGCCGAGCCGUUCUGGUGAAGUCAUUGAUCCUAUGCUGCCGAGAAAAGCCUCUAGCGAUGUUCUGAGCGGCCCGUACCCGAAACCGACACAGGUGGUCAGGUAGAGAAUACCGAGGCGACGGGUGAACUGUGGUUAAGGAACUCGGCAAAUUGCCCCCGUAACUUAGGGAGAAGGGGGGCCGGACGCGUGAAGCCCCUUGCGGGUGGAGCGUGGUAUGGCCGCAGAGAGCAGGGGGAAGCGACUGUUUACUAAAAACACAGGUCCAUGCCAAGUCGUAAGACGAUGUAUAUGGACUGACGCCUGCCCGGUGCUGGAACGUUAAGGGGACCUGUUAGCUCGAAAGGGCGAAGCGGAGAACUUAAGCGCCAGUAAACGGCGGUGGUAACUAUAACCAUCCUAAGGUAGCGAAAUUCCUUGUCGGGUAAGUUCCGACCUGCACGAAUGGCGUAACGACUUCCCCACUGUCUCAACCACAGGCCCGGCGAAAUUGCAGUACGAGUAAAGAUGCUCGUUACGCGCGGCAGGACGGAAAGACCCCGGGACCUUUACUAUAGCUUGACAUUGGUAUCUGAAUUUAAUUGUGUAGGAUAGGUGGGAGACUGUGAAGCUCGGACGCCAGUUCGGGUGGAGUCAUUGUUGAAAUACCACUCUGUUGGGUUUGGGUAUCUAACUUGCGGCCCUGAUCGGGUCGAGGGACAGUGUCUGGUGGGUAGUUUAACUGGGGCGGUUGCCUCCUAAAGGGUAACGGAGGCGCCCAAAGGUUCCCUCAGCCUGGUUGGCAAUCAGGUGUUGAGUGUAAGUGCACAAGGGAGCUUGACUGUGAGACUGACGGGUCGAGCAGGGACGAAAGUCGGGACUAGUGAUCCGGCACUUGCGUGUGGAAGCGGUGUCGCUCAACGGAUAAAAGGUACCCCGGGGAUAACAGGCUGAUCUUCCCCAAGAGUCCAUAUCGACGGGAUGGUUUGGCACCUCGAUGUCGGCUCGUCGCAUCCUGGGGCUGUAGCAGGUCCCAAGGGUUGGGCUGUUCGCCCAUUAAAGCGGUACGCGAGCUGGGUUUAGAACGUCGUGAGACAGUUCGGUCCCUAUCCGCCGUGCGCGUUGGAUACUUGAGAAGGGCUGUCCCUAGUACGAGAGGACCGGGACGGACGAACCUCUGGUGUGCCAGUUGUUCUGCCAAGAGCACGGCUGGUUGGCUACGUUCGGAAGGGAUAACCGCUGAAAGCAUCUAAGCGGGAAGCUCGCUUCGAGAUGAGGUAUCCCACCACCUUUGAGUGGGUAAGGCUCCCAGCUAGACUACUGGGUUGAUAGGCCGGAGAUGUAAGCACGGUAACGUGUUGAGUUGACCGGUACUAAUAGGCCGAGGGCUUAACCAC